AUAUUUUCGUAGUUCAUAAGUAUGACUGGGUUUUCACACGCAUGUGUGAGAUGUGCUUUCCUCAAACUUUGUUACAUGUUGGCACAUUAUACAUCUGACA